rnacentral:rRNA from 1 species
AGUGAACGCUGGCGGUAGGCCUAACACAUGCAAGUCGAACGGCAGCACAGUAAGAGCUUGCUCUUACGGGUGGCGAGUGGCGGACGGGUGAGGAAUACAUCGGAAUCUACUUUUUCGUGGGGGAUAACGUAGGGAAACUUACGCUAAUACCGCAUACGACCUACGGGUGAAAGCAGUGGAUCUUCGGACCUUGCGCGAUUGAAUGAGCCGAUGUCGGAUUAGCUAGUUGGCGGGGUAAAGGCCCACCAAGGCGACGAUCCGUAGCUGGUCUGAGAGGAUGAUCAGCCACACUGGAACUGAGACACGGUCCAGACUCCUACGGGAGGCAGCAGUGGGGAAUAUUGGACAAUGGGCGCAAGCCUGAUCCAGCCAUACCGCGUGGGUGAAGAAGGCCUUCGGGUUGUAAAGCCCUUUUGUUGGGAAAGAAAAGCAGCAGGUGAAUACCCCGCUGUUCUGACGGUACCCAAAGAAUAAGCACCGGCUAACUUCGUG